rnacentral:lncRNA from 1 species
GUUGGCAAGUUGCUCGGCUUUGACUUCGCGGUGGAGUACAAAUCCGGGGCCGCUAAUGUGGUUGCUGACGCCCUCUCGCGCCGGGAUGCUGAGGAGGACAGCAUGGGCGGGCUCCGCUCUAUCUCUGCUCCACGCUUCGACUUCAUCAACCGACUCCGUCAAGCUCAGGCUGUCGACCCCGCCUUGGUCGCCAUCCACGACGAGAUCCGCGCAGGUUCCAGGACAGCGCCCUGGACGGUCAAGGACGAUAUGGUGCUCUUCGACGGGCGUCUCUACAUACCGCUCGCCUCGCCCCUGCUCCAGGAAAUUGUGGCCGCCGUCCACGAUGAUGGCCACGAGGGCGUGCAGCGCACAUGGCACCGGCUGCAUCGUGACUUUCAUUUUCCCCACAUGCGCCGCAUCGUGCAAGACUUUGUGCGAGCUUGCGCCACGUGUCAACGCUUCAAGUCUGAACAUCUGCUACCGGCCGGACUGCUGCAGCCACUGCCGGUGCCGUCCGCUGUAUGGGCCGACAUCGGGAUGGACUUCAUCGAAGCACUACCACGGGUCGACGGCAAGUCCGUCAUCCUCUCCGUCGUCGACCGCUUCAGCAAGUACGGCCACUUCAUCGCUCUUGGCCACCCGAACACUGCUGAAUCAGUGGCCCAGGCGUUCUUCACCAACAUUGUCCGCCUCCACGUCGUACCGCAGUCCAUCGUCUCCGACAGGGAUCCGGUGUUCACGUCUGCCUUUUGGCGUGAACUCAUGCGGCUGAUGGGCUCCAAGCUGCAUAUGACCUCCGCAUUCCAUCCUCAGUUGGACGACCAGUCCGAAGCAGCAAACCGCGUCAUCGUCAUGUAUCUCCGCUGCUUUACUGGGGACCGACCGCGCCAAUGGCUCCGAUGGCUGCCAUGGGCGGAGUACGUCUACAACACGGCCUACCAAGCUUCGCUCCGGGAGACGCCGUUUCGCGUGGUCUACGGCCGCGAUCCUCCGACGAUACGCUCUUAUGAGCCCGGCGAAACCCGAGUUGCGGCCGUAGCCAGGGACAUGGAGGAACGCGAGGCAUUCCUUGCUGAGGUGCGCCACCGACUGGAGCAGGCCCAGGCAGUGCAGAAGCUGCACUAUGAUCGUCAUCAUCGGCAUGUCUCCUACGCAGAAGGUGAUUGGGUCCUGCUGCGUUUCCGCCAGCGUCCAGUGGCCUCUCUGCCCCACUCCACGGGCAAGCUAAAGGCUCGCUAUCUGGGGCCUUAUCGCAUAAUCCAGAAGAUCAAUGAGGUGGCCGUGCAGCUGGAGCUUCCCCCACAGGCGCGCAUCCACGACGUCUUCCACAUUGGGGUCCUCAAGAAGUUCCACGGACCUCCGCCGUCUACCCCGCCUCCCUUGCCGGACAUCAGACAUGGUACGGUCAGCCCGGUGCCAGACCGUGUCACUCAAGCUCGCAGGGUCCGUGGUGUCCUUCAAGUCCUUGUGUUUUGGCGAGGAGAACCAGCGUCUUCAGCUUCCUGGGAAGACCUCGACGAGUUCCGCGCCUCAUAUCCAGAUUUCCAGCUCGGGGACGAGCUGGCUCUCGAGGGGGCGAGAGAUGUCAUGUGGGGCCAAGCCUAUGCGCGCCGUAGGCGCAACCGUGACAUAAGGAGGGCCGAGGAGCGUGCAGAUCGCGCCCAGCUUGGCGCGCACGCGGGCCUGGCCGCGCCCAGUGGCUAGGAUAGGAAGGAAAGAUUUGUUUAGAUCCUAAAUUAUAGAAAGGAUUAGUUUGGUUUCCUUACGGCCUUCAGCCGAGGGACUAUAUGUACUAGCUUUGGACUUUGGAAUAAAGCAAGCAAUAUCAAUUAUCUAAACUCUCUUCUCCCUAAACCUCUCAAGCCCGAUCGUCCGAGAGGGGCAUAACCUCCGGAUCGGAAGAACGGCAGGAGACUACGAUCUUCGUAGUCGAGGGCCACCUACCCUAGAUUACCAGGCCCUUGACACAUACCAUUUGGUAUAUUGCUUAUUGCAAAUAUUUGCUUGCUUUAUAUCUGGUGUUCUCUUGCUCUUUUCCUUGUUCAUUUACAGAUUGAUCAACUCUCUUUGCUUUUUUUUUUCUUCUGUAGGGUGGAUAUGGAACAAAUCUUGCCCCAGCAAAACUAGUUGGGAAGAUUUUUACCUCGCUUGAUAAAUCUAUAUCCCGCAUGAUGGGUACACCAUCUGCACCACUUCCACCAUUACCACAUGGAUCUGUUAGUGAUAGAGAGAGCCACUCUAUGCCUGCAGCAGCAAAAUUUGGAAAUAGCCAAUCGGUAAUGACCAUGUCAUCGUUAAUGCCAUCUGCUUCAAUGCAGUCAAUGACUGAGAUAGCAGAGAAUAGUGGUGGCACUGGCAGGACAAUUGCACACAACAGAAGUGUUUCUGAGCCGGACUUUGGUAGAACAUCAAAACAGGUACUUGCAAAGAGAAAUUUGAAGACAUUAAUUUCUGGUUAUGUUGAAUUUGAAAGAUCAUUUGGUAUUUCUCCCCUUGUCUCAUUUGAAAAACCUAACAGGGUGCUGGAUCAGAUGGCACACAGAGUAGUGCAUCAGGAUCUGGUAGUUCUCGAUUUGGUUGGCUAGUGCAGAAGACUAUGGAUUUAGUGUCGAAAUCCCACCGCCAGGUAUUUUUUACUAAGUUAUGAAAUGACUAUUUCCAGUUUUUGCCCCCAUCUUGUCUCUUCUAUAUGGAACACCAACCUUAAGAUCCUAUUUCUGUUAUGAAGGCAAAAUUAGGGGAUCAGAACAAAUUUUACUAUGAUGAAAAGUUGAAGCGGUGGGUGGAAGAAGGUGCUGCGGUUCCUGCCGAGGAGCCUCCUCUUCCUCCACCUCCAACAAAACCAUCUUUCCAGAAUGGUAUGCCAGACCAUAAGUUGAAUGGCCCCAUGAGUGUAAACCAUGCUCCCAAUGGAGUCACAGAAUGGAAAUCCUCAAAUUCUUCGGAGCAAGGAGGUCUGGGUAUGCCUCCAAUUCCACCUAGCCAAAACCAGUUUUCUGCUCGUGGACGGAUGGGUGUCCGGUCCAGGUAAUUCGACAGUGGCAUUGUCAUUUAGUACUCUUAAUUAUUAUUUCUAUAUUGCUCUCUAAGGUAUUAUACAGAAAACUGAUGGCUUUUCUGUUUUCAUUUUAGAUAUGUUGACACAUUCAAUAAAUCGGGUGCGUCUGGAGCAGUGCCAUCAUAUAACAAACCAGCUGCUCCAUCUGUGACACCACCAGCUGGUGCCAAGUUCUUCAUGCCGACUGCAGCACCUGCUGCUGCAGAUCAGAUGGUGCCACACCAAGCAGCAGAGAUACACAGUGAAACCAUCCAUCAGGAUGAGCGGUCAGCCUCACCACCAGCAGAAACAUCAUUUUCUUCAACCCCACCACCCACACAAUUUUCAUCACCCCCACCGCACAUGCAAUUUUCAUCACCAAUGCAAUCAACAAUUCAUCGGCAAUCUAGUAUGGACAACAUCUCCACCCCUUACCAGGGUUCUGGGGUAUCAUCAUUAAGCAGCAGCAGCUCAUUCUCAAAAUCACGAGCCGCAUCCUGGAGUGGGACAUACUCUGAGCAGUAUAGUGCUUUUGCGGGCACUCAAUCACCUGAUAGACAGACGAUGCCUUCACCACUCAUGCCUGGCAAACCAUCACACAGUCGUUCCAACAGCAACUCAUCAGUGCAGCUCAAUGGAUUGGCAGAGGAUCUUCAUGAGGUUGAGCUCUAACUGACCACUGCUCAGCAUGACCGAGGUGACUCAUGUCUUGUAUCCACAAAGACAGCCAUGGCAAACCCCUGACGGUUCCAGAAACCCCAAGCGGGUGACAGAAAAGAAGCUGCCCUGACAACGCUGAUCACAGGGAUGCCACAGUUGGAAUUGGCUGGUGCGACUUUGCAUGAGAUUCUGGCAGCGCGCUCUAAACCACCGAGGUGCGUCGGACCUGUACUAAUAGAAAUGCAGGGUUUUUGAACAUUUUGUAGCUAUAUAUAGAUGUUGGUUUUACGUUUUAGAGAGAAGGGAAAGGGUUGGGUGGGCCUUGUUUACAGGUGAGAAGAGGAGAGAAGCAGCAUGCAGAUGCCCUUGUACAGAUAAUCUGCCCCUACCCAAUUUGUUUAAACGCAAAGAAACCCACACCCCCACUCCAUAUUGAUUUUCGUUUUUGGGAGAAGGAUAGAAGAGAAGGUGUGUUCUAGUAGUGUGAGAAGCAUGGCUCUGUAGAGUGUUGUUGUUAUAUCAUUAUAUGGUGUAGUGUCCUAGCCGUAUACACAGUAUAUUAUCACUGUUUAUUCUUUGGAGACGAAUCGAUUCUUUCAUCUUGAAACAAUUAGUGUUGCCUUGCCUUGUUGUAUCAUGGGCGAUGUGAUUGAUGCAAUUGUAUCUGUGGUCGACACAUGUUUUGUCCUGUCGCUGAUGGAGUCCGAGUCGGACGGGCACUCGCCGCUGCCUUUGAUAUAUUACCGGCCUGGGAGUUGCGCACCAACACAAUCGCUAGACCCGGGCUGGAUCAACAUGGCAGCGGAGAAGGACGACAAGGCAGACAGGGAGGAGAUCUUGUUGGAUGUCGACGACAAGGAGGUCUCCUUGGAUCUCGACGACAAGAAGGCUAAGGCUGCGGCUGCGGCUGCGGCGAUGGCAGGGCCAGGGGGUGCCAACAAGAAGACCAAGAUGGUGAUGGUGAGUAAAAGCAUCGUGGACGACCUGCUGGCAAACCCCCCCUGAGCCCCUGGGUGACACCUUGGCUUCUACUGCCGCUGAAUUGGGAUGGGAUACUGCCGUCUUUGCUAAGGUAGAUGCGCUCUUUGACAAGGAGCAUGCCCAAGACAUGAGCAUCAUUAGGCAGUGCCAGAACGGGUAUAAGGUUGUGUAUGAUCACUUGGGUUUUGAGAUGGUGGAGGUGGAGGUUGAUGACGACAGUGACGACGACUAAGGGCAUGGUGGAGGUGGAGGUCGGUGAUGACGAAUAGUGCCAAGACUAGAUAGAUUUCGUCAAAAUAAAAUUCUAGAUAGAUAGAUAGAUGGAUUCUUUUGGAGCCUAGAUAGAUCGCUCUAAUUAUGUUCUGUAUUUUGAUGCUAUUGAUAGCUAGGAAAAUUGAGCAUCAUAUUAUUUACACAAGCUCGACUGAUUUGCACAUAUCUCUGAGUCCUUUUUUUUUUUGUGUAUGUAGUUAUAAAUGCAGCGGUUUUACGGAAGUGUAGAUGAUAACUAAUACGUCAAGUAAACACGGCAGAAGCCAUCUUGACCACGUAGUACAACAGGUCGGAGCGGAGCAAUACAAAAUUGUUAAAUCCUCAAGGGAGGUGAGCCUUGCUCGUUCCCCGGCCUGGAUGGAACUCUAGAGAUGCUUCGACACAAAAAUGUACUACUCCUUGAACCUGGUGCGCCUGAGCUCAUCCACCACGUCGUCGAUGCAUGAGCUCGCUCCUUCUCCUUGACACGAGCAAUGCAAGCAAGGGAGCUUGUUCCCCACCCCACCGACCGCCCUCCCCUGUACACCACUAACCACCGUCUCCAUCCUCCCCACCUCACACUUGGGUUGCAGGUCCGUGGCAUGAUAUGAUAGCAGUGGAAACGGGAAAAUCAGUCAGUUCCGGUUUGCAAUAAAAGCCUUAGACUGUCUCCAACAAUGGUCACCCAAAAUACAAGACCUAUUUGUCCUUUGGGUAGCGCUACAGGUAAAAGGUUCCAUGCCUAUUUUUAGUCUUCUCCAACAACAAGACUUAAACUCUGCAAAUGGGUCUCGAAGAGAGAGAAUAUCCAAAUUUGGGUUAUGCCUCUCCUGAUACCCAAAAUGGGUCUUCUGUAUGGGUACUCUGUUGGAUGCUAUAGGUAUUGUGUUGGAAACCUAUUUUGGCUCUUCUAUCGGAGAUAGCCUUAGAUUUCAACUCCCAUUGGCUAUAGCAUACUACACUACUGACUUGCCGGGGAGGAAAUGAACAAAACUAGAGAAAACAGGAUGCAGUACCGCGUGGUUUUUGUUGGCACUUGGUGGUCUGGUGUGGUCAGAUUCCAAGCAAACCGCCUGCUCAUCAGCUCCAGGUUUUGCCUCGCCAGCUGGGCUGCUACUACAGCAGCCUGCAGCAGUAGUCCAUUGGCUGCUGAUUAGUUGCUGCUUUCCGAUACGAUCCAUCAUACGAACCUUUCAACGCACGUCCAGAUCAAUAUUCUAAUCCAGUGCUGUGCUUCCCUGGUUUUUGACUAGUAUAUAUAGGGAUUUGUAUACUCUAAUUAACCCUUCCUCUUCCACUGCAUGCUCUGAUUGCAAUCACAACUGGGAACCAAAUCAUAAUGCUACUACUAGACUAGAUAGAUUGUAUUUAAAUUCAUGUUUAAAUUAGAAAAAGGUAACAAAACCGUGCACCCGCCUUUGUUUGUUUCCAUCGCUACCUACACCUUUUUUUUAUUGUUGACGAUAAUCUUCUCCACCGGCUUCACUUAUAAAACUAUUUUAGAAAAAAAAAACAGUUCACAACAGCUUAUAAAGUUAUUAUAAACUAUAUUAAAUAGGCCCUUAACUAAAGUUUUAUAUAGUAUUCAUUUUUAAUGGAGGAGUAGAUAAGAUGGAGGUAUAUUAUAUUAAAACCAGCAGCUGUUGGAGGUAAAGUGGUUUUCAGUGAGUGGGGCCGGGGUAGAAAUGGAAUUGAAUAUAAAUAUAGCCCGAUGGACCUUUCACCUCCUACGACUACGAGUAGCCAUUGUCUCCACAUCCACCAAUCUCAUUCUCAUUCAGCAAGCGAGGAAGGAAAUCCUCUCGAUCCAAUUCCCCUAGAUUUGAUUUGAUUUGAACCUACCUUGCCAAUCAGAUCACACACAGCAGCAGCAGAUCACCACAAAUCACAAGAUGAAGAAGGCGUCGUCGCUGUCGGAGCUGGGGUUCGACGCCGGCGACGCGUCGUCAGGCUUCUUCCGCCCCGUGUCCGACUCCUCCUCCUCCGCCGCCGACGGGGUGGUGGUGACCCCGUCGGCGCACCGUCGGAGGCUGACCAAGGUAUCCGUGAUCGGCGCGGGCAACGUGGGGAUGGCCAUCGCGCAGACCAUCCUGACGCGGGACCUCGCCGACGAGAUCGCGCUGGUGGACGCGCUCCCGGACAAGCUGCGCGGGGAGAUGCUGGACCUGCAGCACGCGGCGGCGUUCCUCCCCCGCACGCGCCUGGUCUCCGACACCGACAUGUCCGUCACCAGGGGCUCCGACCUCGCCAUCGUCACCGCCGGCGCGCGGCAGAUCCCGGGGGAGACGAGGCUCAACCUGCUGCAGAGGAACGUCGCGCUGUUCAGGAAGAUCGUGCCGGCGCUGGCGGAGCAGUCCCCCGACGCGCUGCUGCUCGUCGUCUCCAACCCCGUCGACGUGCUCACGUACGUCGCGUGGAAGCUGUCGGGUUUCCCGGCCAGCCGCGUCAUCGGGUCGGGAACCAACCUCGACUCGUCCAGGUUCAGGUUCCUCCUCGCCGAGCACCUCGACGUCAACGCCCAGGACGUGCAGGUGCGUGCGUCGUCUCCAGUCGCCGUCGCUCCCCAGCUUUUUUUGUUCGAUUCCCGCGCCCUGUGCUGUGCUGCCCCCUGUCCUGUCCUCUGAUCGUGAUGGGACAUGACUGGUGGGGUCACGUGACACCUGGGGCCCAUCUCUCCACGGCCACUGGCCAGAGCAUGGCAUCAGUUCCCUUGGGAGGGAGGGAGGGAGCAUGUGAUCCCUCUCCAUGUGGGGCUGGAGCUCUGCUCGCAUUACUUUCAUCUCAUCUCACAGGGAUCUUGUUUAGUUCUAAAAAAUUUUUAUAAAAAAAUUUAGAUUCUCAAUCUUUUGACGCAGGUAUAGAACAUUAGAUAAAAAUAAUAGCUAAUUAUACAGUUUACUUAUAAUUUGCGAGACAAAUAUUUUGAGUCUAUUUGUGACAUACAAACGAACAAUGUUUAUUUUAUAAAAUUUUUUAGAACUAAUUAUACUUCUAAGCAUGAACAACUACAUGAUGAUAUCGAGAAACCUAGGCCUUGUUUAGUUCCAAAUUUUUUUUGCAAAAUCGACACUGUAGCACUUUUGUUUGUAUUUUACAAAUAUUGUCCAAUCAUGAACUAACUAGGACUCAAAAGAUUCGUCUCGUGAUUUACAGCUAAACUGUGUAAUUAGUUUUUGUUUUUGUCUAUAUUUAAUGUUUUAUGCAUGUGCCACGAGAUUCGAUGUGACGGAGAAUCUUGAAAACUUUUUGGUUUUCGGGGUGAACUAAACAAGGCCAUAGUAGACAGACAGUGUAAAGAGAGGACAGAACUGAUACUAGUAUCUUCAUAGUAAAUAUUUUCGAAUACAUAAAUGUUAAUUCUAUUUUUUAUAAACUUAGGACUUAUUUAGCUCAUCCAAAAACAUUUUUUAAAAAGAAAAUUUCUCAUCACGUCACAUCAAAUCUUACGGCAUAUGUAUGAAGUAUUAAAUAUAGUUGAAAAUAAAAACUAAUUACAUAGUUUGCCUAUAAAUCAUGAGAUGAAUCUUUUAAACUUAGUUAGUCUAUAAAAUUUUAAAAAAAAAUCGAAACUAAAUAAGGCUUAAGUAAAUUUUUUAAAAAAGUAAAACUGAGCAGUACGAGUAUAGUACUGGUUGCCCUCUUUCUCUUUCCGGGCGGCGCACAUGGUUGUCUCCUUGUGCCGACCACCUUCUUCAAGUCUGUCAAAAGGUCUCCUUGUGCACCUGCUAAGAAAAUGUCUUUGCACGUUCAACUAGAACCACGACUAAUGCUAGAUUGCUAGUAGUACGUCUAGUACCACAUGCACAUUCCAUGAACCAUGAUGACCGCCACUCCAAAGCUUUUUCAAAGCCACCAGCAGCUUCAACUAGAGCCACGAUGUUUGUUCUAAUAAAGUCUGUAACUCCAGCUUCAUUUCGUCCACUGUAGUACUCAUUAUUCAUUUCAAAGGCGCAUCAUUCUGCUAGCCAUCGAUAGUAUACUCGUACAUGCCAAGAGUAAUUUAGUGGACCAGCGCAUCUGAUUACAGCGGAAGCACCUCUCAAACAGAAUGUGACAUGUAUAGCACUAGCUCUACUUUCGCUAUUUCAGUUUAUCUUAGCUUAAUAACAUGUACAGUCGAGUCAGCACACAACGCCUAGCAGAUUCACCGUCACAAGAUUCACAAGGUUCUUCAUUUGAGCCUUUAAUAUAUAUAUAUAUAGUGCAAUACUAGUUUAAAGUUUAAAUACCUUUUUUCAUGUCAAUUGUUGCAUAAUCUUGACUGCUGAAAUGAGAUUCGCACGUUAUUGAUGGAUCGAUUUGUUUGUAUUGCAGGCGUACAUGGUGGGCGAGCACGGCGACAGCUCGGUGGCGGUGUGGUCGAGCGUGAGCGUCGCAGGAAUGCCGGUGCUCAAAUCUCUUCAGCAGAGCCACAGCAGCUUCGACGAGGAAGCCCUGGAGGGCAUCCGCCGCGCCGUCGUCGACAGCGCCUACGAGGUGAUCAGCUUGAAGGGCUACACCUCCUGGGCCAUCGGCUACUCCGUCGCCAGCCUCGCCGCGUCGCUGCUCCGCGACCAGCGCCGCAUCCACCCGGUCUCCGUGCUCGCCAGGGGGUUCCAUGGCAUCCCCGACGAGAACGACGUCUUCCUCAGCCUCCCCGCCAGGCUCGGCCGCGCCGGCGUCCAGGGCGUCGCUGAGAUGGAGCUCACCGAGGAGGAGGCCAAGCGACUGCGGCGCUCCGCCAAGACGCUCUGGGAGAAUUGCCAGCUCCUCGGCCUUUAAUUUGAUCGAUCUCUUUUCAUUUCAUUCACGCUCCAUCUCAUCUCGUCGUGUUUAACAGUUUGAUUUUGGAUCGUCGUAAUAUUACUAUUACCGUCCUGAAACAGUUGAUUACUGCAUCAAUCAUGCUAUUUACACUAGUAGCGCAUCCGGUGUUCAAUAAAAUUACUAUGUGUUUUCUAGUUGCAUUAGUUAUUAGUAGUAGUAGUACUGAUUUCUGCAUUUGGUUUAUUUGGUUCAUCAUCGUGAUCCAUUGACGAUGGCAUUAUUACGCACGAAGUAUGAUUAAUGUCGCUAAGCCCCAACAACACUAGGAUCUCACUCUCACACGUACUAGGUCUAUGUAUUGAGCUUGAAGGGAGAGGAACAAGAAAUUUGUAACAACUCAUUAACUCGGAAGCUUCCUCGGCCAAUUGUUGUCUGCCUCCGAUCCUUCACAUUCCCCAAGCUAAGUCUCCCUCUUUCUGGCACCUGGUGCUCGGAGUCGGAGAUGGAGGGGAUCGCGCGUUGAUGACAUCAAAUUCAAGGUCAAGAACAGACCUGCGCAAUUGAGCCCGACGGGUUUUCACCCAUGAGCCUUAAUUAGUGCACAAGGCUGAGCCAGAAAAAUUUUUCUCAGUCCUUCCUAGCCUGAAAUAUUUAAUUUAACUUUUUUACAUUGUAAACCAUGAGUACAGUCGCCAAGUCCUAGCCCGAUCUAAAGAAUUAGGCCAACUCGCCAAUAUAGGACAGUGGGAGGGAUUUUUUUUUUUCGGGCCCCAAACAACGGGGUUUUUCCGGCUUAAACGUAAAAUGCUCAGGUAAGUUAAGAAUAUCGCCAAACAUUAGGAUUGCACAGUGUUCGACGCUUAGUCCUCUACCGCCCUAGCAUCAUGUCCUCCUGCGUUAGCGACCACACACUCAUCUGUCAGACCACACCCGCUAAUAGGGGCAACGGGCUUAUAUAUUUACCAAGGGUGGAGAGAGACAAGAAAUUUAUAACAAUCUCAUUAACAUGGAAGCUUCCUUCACUCGAGAGUGGAUUUUCCACACGUAGCUUUGGCCGCCAGACCUAUCAUGGCCAUAGGAGGGGGCUUAAGACUGUGCUAGGCCAAUGAUGACCACAGAAGGAUGAAGGAAUGGUGGGGGUGGGGGAGGGGGGAGUCCCGCAAAUGGUGCCCUUGCCCCAACCCUGUCCGGACGCCUCCUCUGCUAACCACUCUAGCAACGUCACCGCCGCCUCCACCUUGUCGUUUCUCUCAUCCCCAACACCAGACCUACUCUUGCCUCUCAUGAUCCCUUUCUAAAAGCCCAUCAACGAUGAUGCAGAACAGAGGGAGAGGAAGAGAAGGCUGAGGGCAUGGUGGUGGCGGGCGAUGUGGCAGGAGCCAGGGGCGGUGGAGAUCGGGGCCGAUGACUAGGCGUUGUGGAGGCUAGCACGGUGCCAGAGCUAUGGCUGUCGGGGUGGGUGCGGCAUUGGCUUGGGAAACGAGGCCAUGAGCGAUGGCGGCGUCGUUGGGAGAGCAGAGAGAGAGAAGAGAUGCUUGAAAAUGUGUGCUACAAAGGUGAAGAAUGGCUGAUACGUGUGGUCCUGCUUUUCCCUUCCUUACCCAAUUUCUCUCUAUCUUCUUCCCCCAUCUCCAAGUCUUCCUCUUCCUUCCAAUCUAUAUCCAACACGAUGCUGGAGGCUCUCGGCUCAUGACAUUCUAGUACCAGAGUACAUGUUGCGGAUCAUGGAGUAGUUCUCUAAAAUCCCAUAGCAUACAACGUAUCAUUUGGUCGGCAAGAUUAUUCUUCUCGCAUCUCAUUAAUUAUUUCGUCAUUCAUCGUGGUUAGCCUAUUAUCAUCCUGGUGCGGGGGUGCAAUCAUCCAACCCUCACGGCCGGUAAUUUCUCUGCUAACUCGAACCGAUAAGAAAAUUGAUUCACCGAUAAAUAAUUUUUCUAUUCUUGUCACUUAUUUUUUAUUUAUUUGCAUUGUUGGUUUUGCUCCUUUAUAGGGGGAUUUCGUUUUCUAGUAGGAUUUACUUGGAAUUUGAAUAAUAUUACAUAGUCGAUGCCCAAACUGUAAUAUUUACUACUUGCAUAUAGGUGGGGACUGGAACGGCAAUUGAGUUUUUUUUCCUUCUUUUUCAUAAGAGAAGUUGGGGGCAAUGACUAGUAGGAUACGAAAGACAGAUCAUAUUCGUGGAAGCUUCCAAGGAGAGAAGCUGCAUGUAGGAAUUGAACGUGCGUCUAGAUGUGCAUGUAUAACAUAACAAAUCAACAUCAGCUAAAUUUCAACGAAGCGCGACAUGCAUGCAAUAUGUUGUGUGUAGUCCUGGUCCAAUCCUUAGGCAUGCAUAGUACGUACUGUCAAGGUGUAUAUAUAGCCGUAUGCGUGAAUCCACGCGUUUUAAGUACGUAUCAACGUAUGUAUAUAUGAUGCAUGACCGAGCAGCUAGCUAGUAUAGCCAUGUAAUGUCAUGGAAAUAAUGGGCCGACGAUAUAUAGGAUGACAAAAAGAGGGAGCGAGGAGUGGAACAGUAUAGCUCGCUAGCUACGACGACAAUCUAGAUGAUGUGGAAAUGUAGGGGUGGAAAAAAUGGCGAUCGAGACGGUGGUCUCUUUCAAGACAACAUGCAGGUCUCUCCCUUUUCAAAACCGGCGACUUGCAUGCAUUGCAAAAAAAGUAUCGGAGGAAUCGGAAGAAAGGUUGAUGAUGCUAUCAGAUCAUCUGUCAGUUGGGAAGAAUUGAAGGAGGACGAAGUCAAGAUGCAUGCAUGGUAGGGCGGCUAUUGCGUUUCACAAGCAGGUUUGUGCGCGUGCGCUUGUUUGACAAGUCCGUUCCCCGUCCCUUCCAAGAAAUUAAAUAUCGUCAUGCUAUAUAUGCAUGUCGAUCCAGUACGUUGUUGAUCCGAUCCAUGUACAUGCCGUGACGAGACCGUGCAGGCCGGCCAAUCAACUUUAUUAGGCUACUCCAUUGACCAAUGGAUUUGGAUUGAUCCCCAAGAAAAGCAAUUAUGUGUAACACUAGCUAGCUAGUAGUACGGAGAUCUGGACCCUAGUGCAAGUGAAGGAAGGAAUGAGAGAUCCACGACGACCCAUGACUUUGAAUUGAAAAGAAGACCAAAUUAAUUACUAAUAACCCAACAAUGCAAAACCAGCAGCAGCUAGCAGCUUCAUUUCCCAUUCCGGCGGGCUGCUGCCUCCAGUAUUUGCUUGGUUGCACCACCGGCGGCGUGCGAUCCUCGGCGGCUGGGCCCGCCGCGCCGGCUACUUUUUAACUUAAUUUCAACGCCUUGAAUUCUUCUCCAAGGUACUAGUAAAAAGGUUGAAUAAUCCGACCGGCCAAGAGCCGAGCCAAUUAACCCGGGAUGGGAUUGCCAUGCCGACUGCAUGCCUUGCUGUGCCUUCUCACCAGCGGCACUACCGCCGUACGUACACACUCACAUGAGGUCUGCUACUCAACCACUUGAUUUGAAAAAGGGUGACCUAACAUUUUAUUAUUUUAAUUAUAUAUGUCUGUCUAAAAGGAAAGGACAGCGGCGACCAUGACCAGACCACAUAUAUAGUGGAGGAUCCCCACUGAAUUUGAAUGUAGUACUAUAGUAGCAUUAAUUAGCAUGGUGUAUAGUAUGUGCACUAGUAGAACAUGCAAGUUGUUUGUGAAUAUACGCCGUCUCCCCUAUCUGCAUCUGCUGAUAACCUACCGUACCUACGUACGUAAUUAAGCACAUGCGUAUGUCCAUGCAUCAUGGAUCUACUACUACUCCCUCAACUUCGUCCCAAAAACAUGCCAUCCUAGAACUGAAGUUAGUCAAAUUAAUUCUAAUUCUAAUUAGAUUUAUAGAAAAUAGCAUCAACAUUUGUAUCUUUAAAUAGGUUUAUAAUAAAAUUACAUUUCAUUCUUUAUUUAAUGGUACUUAUUAUUACAUAUACAAAAUAUUAUUACAUUUUAUACAUUUAGCAAAAGUUAAGAUUGAUCGUCUCCUCAGAAAAUGAGAAUAAUACUCCCUACAUCCAUAAAAGAAUACAACUAUCUGAUUUGUAUCGGUUAAACUAGCUUAAUUUUAACCAAAUUUAUAGUGAAUAGAGUUAUUAUUUAUGUCUCUAAAUAAGUUUACUUAGAUGAUAUAUUCCUGAUUAAUUUAAUGAAACUUAUUUAGUAUCAUAAAGUUUGACUCCACAAAAAAUUGAAAAUAACACCUUUUUUGUGGAUGGAGUACAUAUACGUCCUAUCUUGCUAGUAAAUAAAUAUGUGACAUACGAUACGUCCUCGAAAAGAGUUUAGCUUAGCUUGCAAUAACCAAAAAUCAAUGCAUGGAAUCCAACGAAAAAUCCCGGUAUUGAUAUGAUGCAUGUGACAAUGCACUAAAUCACAUGCAUAUGCUCCUCCAAGGCAUUACUACUAUAUUUCAUCUACCUACAGUGUCACACUCUGAGAUGUACUACAAUGCAACUGUGCAAUUGAAAACCGCUUAACAACGCCUCUGUUUUCAGGAAGUUUCAUUUGGUACAGCAGUAGUUUACGCUGUCAACAACGCAUAGAGACGCCACUGGUUUGCAUAUGGCCACCUAUAUGUAUAUAUAAUAUAACAAAGUCAAGCAAGCAUCAUUUCCUUUUCAAAAAGUGUUUUUUUUUCUUUUCUUUCAGAAAGAUCGAUCGAAAACGGCUCAGAGUUUAGCUGAAACCGGUUGAUUUCAGUUUUUCAGGGGGCUUGUCUACCUCCCUCCUCCCUAAUAAUACUAUAACCUACCAGGUAGCUAGUAGCUUAUAAAUAGCAGCCCUCCCUUAUCAUCUCACCAUAUACAGCAUCGAUCACCAAAGGCUCCCUCAAACACUUCCCGCUGCUCCCUCCAACUGCAACUAGACCAGAUCGUCAACACGCAAAUUUAGCAAGAUGAAGAAGGCCACGUCACUCUCCGAGCUGGGCUUCGACGCCAACGGCGCCUCCGCGGGCUUCUUCCGCUCGGUGUCCGACGACGCCAUGGACGACUCCACGCCGACGUCGCACCACCGCCGGAGGCUGACCAAGGUGUCCGUCAUCGGCGCGGGCAACGUGGGCAUGGCCAUCGCGCAGACCAUCCUCACCCGUGACCUCGCCGACGAGAUCGCGCUGGUGGACGCGCUCCCGGACAAGCUCCGCGGGGAGAUGCUGGACCUGCAGCACGCGGCGGCGUUCCUCCCCCGCACGCGCCUCGUCUCCGACACCGACAUGUCCGUCACCAGGGGCUCCGACCUCGCCAUCGUCACCGCCGGCGCGCGGCAGAUCCCGGGGGAGACGAGGCUCAACCUCCUCCACCGCAACGUGGCGCUGUUCAGGAAGAUCGUGCCGGCGCUGGCGGAGCACUCACCGGACGCCAUCCUGCUAAUCGUCUCCAACCCCGUGGACGUGCUGACCUACGUGGCCUGGAAGCUGUCGGGUUUCCCCGUGAGCCGCGUGAUCGGGUCGGGAACGAACCUGGACUCGUCGAGGUUCCGGUUCCUCCUCGCCGAGCACCUGGACGUGAACGCGCAGGACGUGAACGCGUACAUGGUGGGCGAGCACGGCGACAGCUCGGUGGCGGUGUGGUCGACGGUGAGCGUGGCGGG